UGUCCCAUUUAUGCAUACAGAUUCAUAUAAAGAAAAUACAGCAACUACAUGUACUGUAUGUAUGUAAAUAAACACAAAGUUUUAUUGCAAUAAAAGGCAGUCUGUUUGAGGUACUGUAAAGGCCUUGACACACUAGACACGAUACGACAAGCGAAUGCGUUGUACGAUACGCUGCACCACGACAAAAAAUAAAUAAAACAUGUAUUUUUGAUACAAGCCGUUCACACUGCCUGCGAUGCGAUGGGCGACACUGAAGCGAUGCGAAAAAAAUAAAAAUUGGUGUCUGUUUUUGUGAUUUUGUCACGCGGCAGCUAGGGUACCAACCAAUGAGGAACAGCUUGCCUGCCCGCCUUCAGUGAACAAUGGCGGAAGUAAAAAGAUAAUUCUUGCAGUAUCAAAAUACCCGGAGCUGUACAAUAAAGGACACCAAAAUUUACACCCAUUUUCACAUAAAUUAAAAAAAAAUUAUAACAGCAGGCCUUGCGGGUCAUACUUUCCGAUUUGGAAUCCGCCCAUUUUUAACGUAAAGGUGGAUGGAACACGGAAAGGUCCUAUCUGAAUUUACAUGAAGGUGUCAGAAAGGCAAACUGGGCUGCAGCGUUCACCACCUCUAUUUGAUUAAAAUCUAAAGGUUGGCUUUCCCUCCACCACAUGGCAUAUCUGAUCAGUGUUAAUUAUAUGCUUUAUAAACUCAGACGCACUUUCAAAUACAGCUUUGUUAACUAUAUAGUAGAUGCAUUGCAAGUUCUGUUUUAUAACAUUUGCAACAUGUUAUUAGCACGUGGAUCCACGAAUGCAAGGAAAACCAAACUAUGGAAAAGCGCACAGUAAAACACAAGUAUUGAGUAUAGUUAUUGUCCUUAUUGUCAAACUUUGUGCAAGUAACAUGUAUGUAAUAUGUGUUUUAGCUGUCUGUCUGUAAAGUUUUUUGUUACUGUUCUGUAAUUAUGAAUCAAAACUGCUUUAGCUAGUGGUCUUGAAAGACACAGCAUGCUUUCGGUACGUAGAACGCUAGCAAACACGGACAUUACAGUAUUCAGCCGCCACACCAGGGAUGCAAAAAUGCCAUUGGAAUCAAAGGCUAACGGUAGAACCCUAAAGGGGAAAAGGUUUGAGUCCUUUAUUUAAACAAGAAUUAUUGCACAGGGCCAUGACUGAAAGUGCUCUAAAACUGAGGGGCUCACCUGGUUAAAAGAAAAGGCUUGAAGAGUCUCCUCCAGCUGAUCUUAGUCUAUAUUUCCCUUGAGUUGAUCAGGUUUGGAGCCACAAGGCCCCAUUGUUCGAGUGGUGAUUGUGUGGAAAAGAAUGAGUCCUACUUGCAAAGACACAAAGAAAGCACUUAAGUUUUUUUUGUUAUUUUUUUUUCAAAGACAUGCUUCAUAUUUUAAACCAAUAAUGGGUGUUGUAAAUGAAUGCAGGUAUAUGCUGGUAUGUGAAAAGCAAAAUAUUGACACUAAGGGUGCCCCAGGUGGGUGUGUGUGUGUGUGUGUGUGCGUGCGUGUGUGUGUGUGUGUGUGUGUAUAUGAGUUCAGGUUUUCUUUUAGAAAUCCUGUUUUAAACUUGGAAACUUUUCAAAAACAGUCAAGCGCACACCCCUCUCUGAUGUCUGUUCAAAACUAUAAAUGAAGUUGUCGUGCGCUGUUGUGGAUGUCAGCUGAGAUAACCUCAAUUUCUGGAGGCAAGACACCUGGCUGGAGCAGAGUGGCAGUGCUCAAUUUAACAUGUUUAGGGUGCGAUCAUCACUCAGAGAUGGGCUUGGAGUUGGGAUGAUGGAUCACGGGCAAAGUAGGGGCUGAUAAAAUAUGGCCCAUGAAUCUGUUCUACAUCAUCAGCUCCUUUGAUCACUGACAGAAGUUCAGAGAUGGCUCUGUGCAUCUGUCCAAAUAAACAAAGCUCCCUUUUUCCCCCUCUGGAGCGACAUUUGCAAACACACAGAACCCAGUCCCGUUCACAGUCACUUACCUCACUACAGAAUGCCCGCAGUACAAUAAGAGUUUGAUACAGUUUUGCUAGGUGAACCACAGAGGUUUUUUUUCUUUUUACUUUUUUGUUUUGUAAAAAGAAAGGUCCCCAGUAAUGACAGGUUCAGCAGAUAACAGAUGAUCCCUGAAAGCUGAUAGCUGUGUUGACAGCAGGGGCUGGGUUUGGCAAUCACAGCCGGGAAACAGUGCUACGGCCCUGUACAGCUGUCAUGUCAAGAAACCCUAAAGUUACAACGAUGCUAUUGCAGUUACAUCAUUUGUCUUUUUGAAGUCUCUCUCCUGGUUAUCUCCCUGAAAUCACUUUACUUGGGUGUCUGGGCUCAGCUUGAGGUAACUCGUCAGAUCACCUUCCAGGGGAUAUAUCAGAGUGUUUACCUUAUUGUCAUGUCUGAAGUUCCUGGGUAUUUUUAAUUGUGCUGAUUUCACAGCACGAUGGAUCUUGAAAUGAUCUUGAAAUGAGCUUGUGUUCAUGUCAUUUUCACCAGUAAUAAGUGUCUGUAAUGGCUGCCUGGUUUAGCAGUCAGAACACAUUGACUGGGUGUCUCUUAUUGCCCCAUCCACUUUCUCUCUGUUUGAAGCCUUUGAUCUUUGCCUGCAGUAUUAAAAGUUAAAAGUCAUAGAGGUAGAGAUGACUUUCCAGAAAAUCAAAAACACCGUAGAUCUCUCCUUCCUCACUCCACACAACACUGUAGAGCUCUCCUUCCUCACUCCACACAACUGUAGAGCUCUCCUUCCUCACUCCACAGCAACACUGUAGAGCUCUCCUUCCUCACUCCACAGCAACACUGUAGAGCUCUCCUUCCUCACUCCACAGCAACACUGUAGAGCUCUCCUUCCUCACUCCACAGCAACACUGUAGAGCUCUCCUUUCUCACUCCACAGCAACACUGUAGAGCUCUCCUUCCUCAUUACACACAACACUGUAGAGCUCUCCUUCCUCACUCCACAGAAACACUGUAAAGCACUCAAACACACUACAAACAAUCCUCAAAUAAAUACUUUGGAACGUGCAAUUUACACCACCUUUAAAAAUAAUAAUGUUCCUACAAAACUAUCAACAAACGUCUUGUACAUCUCAAGUCUUUGUCUUUCUUUUAGAUAACCUCUCCUUGCUUCCUAUUACAAACCGAGUUGUUGGCUAAUUCAUAUUACAAAUUGAAGUUUCCAGGAAACUCUUUUCAAUGGUAAUAUUAGGCAAACGUGAGUUGGAUCUGAAAUGGUGGGUUAUCAAGUUUUUCCAUGACAUCUCUCAUAUUAUAAUGUAAUGUUACUGGGCUGCUGUUAGUAACUUUUCUGUAAUCUGUUUGUGUAUGUGUUUUUUUCGUAGGCUACACUCCUCAGAAUAUCGCUGCUCUUCACAGCCACUCUCACAUCAUCCAGCUGCUCGUCGGUACCUACAGCACAAAUGCUUAUGUCAGUCUAUUAGAACGUGAUGGAAGUACUGAUCACUGCCUCUGCAUUUAAAGCCUUUUGAAACUCGGAUGACCUGCUGAAGAGGAUUUCGAGUAGAGGGCCCUUCACAUGACUCUUUCAAAUCCACAUAAAUAAAGCUCUUUACAGGCUGAAAAUGCCCUCUCAGAUUUAGCACUACAGAGCCCCCUGAAAAGCACAACACGAUUGUCAUGGAUAUUACACGACUGGAACAACAACAGGCCAAGGAGACAAGUGUCGAUCCUGAACAAAACUAGAGCAGACUUUUUCACGAGCUGUGCCGCGGAAUGUUGACAGCCCAGUAAAUGGCCUGUUUAACCUUUUGAAAGUGAAUAAAGGCUCCUGAAACAAAUGCAUUCUGAUAGACUUUGUACCUACUGGGAUACAAAAAGUACACAAGUGCCCCAAGAAGGCCAGGCAGGCAGAUGCCAAAGCAAACAUGAGGGAUUACAAUGGGAAGAUGCCGAAGCACUACUGGAAGGGCAGCGUUGAUGUGUUUAGCACACCCUCUUUAGAUUCAUGUAAGCAUACAGUUUGAGUCACUUACUCUAUCAGUGCAAUGCUGGUUUGUUCUCAAACAGUUUUGUUUGGUACGGGUCUUGUAUACCCAGCCUUUGUGAGUCAUGGACACUGCAAUGCAUGAUUCACAAACGAUUUUGAAAACAGCAGGUAAGGUUCAGUCUCUGGGACUGGGGCAGAGGUUGCAGGGAGUUUCGUUUUGGAAGAACGGUUUAGAAAAAUACUGCAGUUGUCUCAAAAGUUACGUUUUCAGACAAGGCAAUUUACGGAACCAUGAAUUCCAAAUUGACAGCUCCAGUACAUGCCCCUGAAGGCAUCAUAACCGAAGCUUCAAAAUGUGCUGAUAUGAACAUACAGAAUACGUGUCGGUUUGUUUCUCUAUUUAUUUAUUUAUACCUUCCGAGUGCUUUGCUCAUUGAAGCCGAGGACUCUAAAGCCGAAAGCACUGGCUACACCCAGGCAUAGUGGAAGUGGGUGAUCGGAGACAUUUCCCACGCCAUGCUGCUGUUUAAAAUUGACUUCUCCCAACCAGUGACUUACAAGUGCGCCAGACUGACAGCAGACUAAAAGAAAAACCAUUUCACUGGAGGCCAGGCUUGAACCCAGGACCCCGAGAGGUGCAUUGCUAGUGAAUUAGCCACA